AUUGAACGCUGGCGGCAGGCCUAACACAUGCAAGUCGAGCGGAUGACGGGAGCUUGCUCCUUGAUUCAGCGGCGGACGGGUGAGUAAUGCCUAGGAAUCUGCCUGGUAGUGGGGGACAACGUUUCGAAAGGAACGCUAAUACCGCAUACGUCCUACGGGAGAAAGCAGGGGACCUUCGGGCCUUGCGCUAUCAGAUGAGCCUAGGUCGGAUUAGCUAGUUGGUGGGGUAAUGGCUCACCAAGGCGACGAUCCGUAACUGGUCUGAGAGGAUGAUCAGUCACACUGGAACUGAGAAACGGUCCAGACUCCUACGGGAGGCAGAAGUGGGGAAUAUUGGACAAUGGGCGAAAGCCUGAUCCAGCCAGGCCGCGUGUGUGAAGAAGGUCUACGGAUUGUAAAGCACUUUAAGUUGGGAGGAAGGGCAGUAAGUUAAUACCUUGCUGUUUUGACGUUACCGACAGAAUAAGCACCGGCUAACCCUGUGCCAGCCGCCGCGGUAA
rnacentral:rRNA from 1 species